rnacentral:lncRNA from 1 species
CUCGGAUUGGAUACUCGUUGUAUAUCGACUUGUACUUUGCUCUGAUAUCAGGAUAGGACUCUCUUGUUUUACUUCCUAUCGACUUGCUUCUCGUAGACGCCUUAUAUACUGCAGGUGUAUGGCGGGUCUAUGCACGUGCCGGAUAUGCUUCCGCUGGUACCCGGGCGUGACAAUAUAGCAACACUUUUUAAAAGUGUCGGUAAUUUUAGCUAGCAGUACUUUUUUGACAUGUACCUACAUUUAAAAGUGUCGCUAUAGACCGUUUUUGUUGUAGUGCCCCCCCAAACUACCUUUUGCUAUAAUUAGCACACCCUUUUCCU